UAGAAACGCCCCUCUCUUCAAAGAAGCUGGGGUCUAAAGCCGUCGCUCCAACCACAGCAAAAUUGGCUCCCUCUUUCCCAUUCUUCUUUCCCAGAUACGGUUUCACCAAUGGAAGCCCCAAUGACUCAGCUGCACAUAAAACAACUCCAAACACUUAAAACCUACUUUCACAGGAUUUAAAUUAAUUCUUACCAUACAGAAUUUACAACUUCAUCAUUGUCAUUCGCUUUAACAUUUUAGUUCAUUUAUAUUUAUGCUCAACAACAGACUAAUCUCACAUAGUAUAAGACAUUUAUGGAAGAUCUAAUUAAAUAUAUAUAUUGUAAUUUGAUUAUAGUUGAAAUGAAAAAUGAAAAGUAGGAGUAAGAGAAGAAGAGAAACGGAACCGAUGAAAUCGAUGAUGAGGCGGCCAUCGGAGCAGCGUCCGGAAACAUGGUGAAAGAAGGUUUGACCGUAGGGAGGAAAGAAGCAGUGUUGAGGGGAAGGGGAAGCGAGAUACCAGUUGCCAGUGUCAGCAAAAGAAUCGCCGAAACUGAAGAUGGAGGUGAAUGGGGACGGGGACGAGGAUAAUAACGGUGGCGAUUCUGAAAGUGAGAAAGGUAUCAGAAAUGCUGCAGUUAGCACUGCGAUUGUAAUCCAUCGCUGCUCACAGAUUGACCUCAUUGAGAAUGCGAUGUCGCCACACACAUCCCCAAACCUCAAUUUAUUCUGUUAAAAUAAACAUUAUUUUUAAUUUAUGCGUUGUUUCAAAUUUGAUAAAAAUCAUAUUUCACACUAUACUAAUAUGAAUUUAGCUAUAUUUAACUAUCAUUCAAGAAAAAUUUACUCGCUACAGGUAGAACACAGAUAAGGUAAACAAUAUGUAUGUAUAUACCUAUUCCAUCCUCAUAUUUUUAUUUAUUUAUGAAUAUUAAAUAUAUUUAAUUUAUUAUGUAUUUUAAUUUUUUUAAUUUUUAAUUUAUUUUAUUAGAAUAUUCUUUUUAUAUAAAUUUUUAUAAAUUUGAUCAUUUUGUUUGUUUUCUAAUAUUUUAUUUACUAUUUUUUUCAUUUGAUAAUAUCUAUCGAUCAAUUUUUAAUAUCAAUUUUGAAUGUUAAAUCAUGUUAACUUAUUUAUUAGGUCAUUAAAAAAAAUGUCUUUAGUUCUUAAUUUCGUUUUAUUUAAAUAAGUUUUUACUUUAUCAAAUGAUAAUUUUUUUAUUAAGUUUUAUACUUAUUUAUGAUAUAUAUUUUGUACAUAUACUACCAAGCUAAUUAGUCAUAUAGUGAUUUUAUGGUUGGUAAUAACUUUCAUGGUAUUUGCUUCAAAUUCUAAAUUGUUGUUUUGUUUUUACUUUUCAAAAUACAAUACUUCAAGAUAAACUAUCACUACAAUUUGUUAUUUACAUAUAGAUUAUUAUAUGUGGAUUUAAAUUUGUAUGUAAAGUGAAAUUAUAUAUGGAUUUUACAUAUGAAUUUGAAUCUGUAUGUAAAGUGAGCAUUACAUACGGAUUUUUACAUACGAAUCUGGAUCCGUAUGUAAAGUGAGCAUUACAUACAAAUUUUUACAUAUGAAUUUGGAUUCGUAUAUAAAAUAAGUGUUACAUACUGAUUUUUACAUACAGAUUUAAAUUUAUAUAUAAAGUGAGUGUUACAUACGAAUUUUUAAAUACGUAUUUAGAUUUGUAUAGUUUUUUAUGAGAAUUAAAAGUAAUGAACAAACUAAAAUAAAAAAAAUAUAAAAAAAGGUUAUAGGGAAUUGAAAUAAUUUUAAGAUUUAUUACGUUGUUAGAAUUAAAUUAAAAAAAGUAAUUUGAGUUUAAUUAUUUCUUUUAAUUUAAUUUAAUUAAAGAAAAAAUUAUAAUAUUAAAAUUAUAAAAAAGUAUUAGUGAUAUUUCUAAUACAGAAUAUUACAUACACAAUAUUUUUAAUAAUUAUAAAUUGAUAUUAAUAUUUUUAUUAAUAUUAAUAGUUUAAUAAUAUUAUUAGUAAUAAUAAUAUUAAUAAUAUAAAUGAUAUUGAUGAUAUUAAUAAUAUAAAUGAAAUUAAUAAUAUAAAUGAUAUUAAUGAUAUAAAUGAUAUUGAUGACAUUAAUGACAUAAAUGACAUUAAUGACAUUAAUAUAAGUAUAAUAAAAAUCAUAAUGUGACAAAAAAAACUUGUCUGGUGUAGCGGUAUAAGGUUUUUUGGUCACUAAAGGGACUUGGAUUCGAUUCUUGCUUCUCUAAAGUUGAAGAAGCAUACUUAAGAUGGUAAGGGAGAGAAAUGUAUUACAAACUUUUUUCAAGGAGAAUCCAUAUUGUACCUUUGUUUUUGGUAAAAAAGUUGAAAAUUUAACUUUACUUUUAACCUUAAUCUUGAAUUUGUUUCACUCCUUUAUUUUCAACCAAAGCUAAAAUUUGUCGCUAAUUGUUGAUCAAAGUGCAAAAUAUCUCUUCCACUUAUAAUAAAACCUAUUAUGGAGGACAAAAGACAAAGGCUAAGAGAUUUAACAUGUAUUAUGUAAGAAAAAUAUGUAAAAUAAUUAAACAAUAUCAGUUGUGUAAAAUAUAGUUAUUGGCAUAAAUAUAAUUGUAGCGUCAUGUGUCAAGCCCGAUAAUACGUAUCAAUAAAUCUUCUAGUGACAUUCAUAUGUAAGACAUUACUAUCGUAUCAACACAAAUUAAGGGAUUUCGAAUAAUCAACAUUAAAUAGGAGACAACAUUUAUUAUUGAAUUAGGCCAAUGACAAUAUCAAAUAAUACACAAGAAAGAAAGAAAGACAGAUUACACUAGCUAAGAGUUUUCAUAUUCUUGGCUACACUCAAUGUUCUAGGUUUGAGAUCGUCAAUAUUUUUAUAUGUAACAUUUUAACAUUCACCGUGGGGCUGGUAAAUUUUUUCCUACACGUAAUACUCUUGUCUGGAAUAGUAAUUUAAUGGGAAAAAAAUCUAUUGGUUAGUUAGGGAAGUUAUCAUUUUAAAUUGAUAAUAACCCAUCUUAUGAGAUUUGGAAAAGAUUAAGAAAAUAUGUUUAUGCAAUUAUGGUUUGUACACAUUUAAUUAUAAAAAAAAAGAGCGAAAUAAAAAGAAUUUGGAAAAAAAUACACUAAGAAAAGGGAUUGAAAAAAGAAAUUAGGUCUUUCAAUGAAUUGAGAUAAAUGUCUCUCACUUUUAUAUGUCCAAUCAUGAAAUUUUGAAUUUAAUCAAAUAAUAAAUUAUAAAGGAUUUGAUUAGUAUUUACUUAAAACAUACAACUUGUCCAACCACGGUUUAAACAUUGAGUGUGACAUUCAUUUUUCUUUGUUUCAGCAAAUAAAAGUAAUUUUGACAUCAAUAUUAAUCUUAAAGACUAACAAAUAUGUUCAUAAAACAUACGUGUGCUAACAAUAUUUAUAUAGUGGGAAUUACAUUGAACUUGUCUCACUUCAUUUGAAAGGAAAAGAAAGUUCAGCUAUUGAAAUAGCCAAAAUUUGCAUUGUUCAAACUCAAGGAACUAAAUGAAGGGAGAGAAUAUGGCCCUUUUAUAAUAGCUUGAGUGAUUAAUUUAUAUGCAGCUUCAGUUAAAUGCAUCCCAUCCCAUCCAAUAUACUUGGAAGGAUCAUCACAAGCAAUCACACUUGGAUCACCACAUAUUACCGAUGCAUUGAAAUUGUAUGGACCCCCUAUUCCACAACAGGCUUUAAGACCACUAAAUCCUGCAUAUGAAUCAAAGUAUAUAUCACAAUACUAUAGGCAUGAAGUAAUUUGUUUUGAUGGAGUAUGAAUAUGAAUAUUUGAAGCAAACAUAUAAUAAAUUACAAUGAGAAUUGAGAAAAUUACCAAACUUUGUGGGGUCACGAUAUAAAGCCAAUGCAGCAUUGUAAUAAUCGGCAAAGAUGAUAUUAGCAUGAGGAUGAAGGCUCGAAGCUUAUCUAAUUCAAUUUGGAGCUCAUGGUUGUAAUAUUCAGCAAACUCGUUUAACCACUUCAAACACCCACUUUGGUCAUAUUCAUUCUUAUUUUUUGUUUCAUAGAGUGUUAAAUACUUCACACUACAUCCAAUUGGUAAAUUCCCAGGAACCAAGAGCGUGCGAGCCCCUAAACCAAUCAACUCCUAUAAAAAAAACAACACAAAAGGUUUUAAGGAUGCUUUGAAGCUAAAAUAAAAUUGUUUAAUGAGAUAUUUUAAAACAAAAAUGUAAAUCUUCAUAUGUUACCACCUUUAAUACUCCAAAAACUUUAGUCCUCAAAUUUUUAAUCUUGAAAAACAAGUCACCAAAUUAAUCUAUAAAAAAAAAUAUAUCAUCUUAUCCCAUGUCUAAAAUAGAAAAUCAAAGUGGUGAUAAUAGAAUCAUAAUGUCUGAAACAUUAAUUUGGUGACGAGAUAUUUUGGAUGAUUAAAGUGGUAACAUAUGUAAUUGUAGAAGAACAAAUUAAAGUUUUAAUACAUAUAAAAACUUACAUGGAUAGUUGAAGCUAUUACAUUGAUUACAUAUGGAACAUAUGUUUUAAUCUCUGCUAUGCUGUCUUGUUCAAACAAAAAAGAAUUGAAAUCGUUUCCUCCAAUUUCGCCCAUAAGAAAUAAUGAGUUCAUAAAAACUUCACGACAAUCUGUAAGAUUAAACUUUAAUUCAGAAUUUGAUAUUAUUAGCCAAUGUGUGAUAACGUUGGAAUUUUAGCCAAUGGGUUUAUAUCUCUGUCUUCACUUUCCACAAGCAUGUCCUCAUCUUUUCGUAAUAAGUACAUAAAAUUAUGAAAUUUUUAGUAAUUUAUUCUUUAACAUUUUUAAUUAAAUAGGCCUCACAUAAAUUCAUAAAUCUCAAUAAGUUUAAUAUUAAUUUUUUUAAAGAAUACCUUGCUCACCUUCUUCAUAAGAUAGACCAAGAAACCUACAUGUAUUGAACUAUUACUUCAAAAAAAUUACUUAAAAUGGCACUUAUUAUUGACUUAGAAACUUGGUUAUGGUUUAACAUUUUGUAUACUAUGUUCGUGAAUUUGUAAAAGAGAAAGGGAUUAUUAUUAUAGAAUUUGUAUAAAAUCUAUAUAUAAAUAACACAGAAUUAUUUAUAAGUUGACCACAGUUAAAUAAAUAGAAAAACUAAAUAUUUACUUAUUUUGGGGUGAAUGAAGGUCGAGGAAAGAAAGAUAAGAAAACAAAUGUAGAAAAGAGUGAUAGAUAUGUGUUAAAGAAAAGUUGAAUAUAAUAUCAAAGAGAAAGUAAACGUACGUUAGUAAUAAGGACAGGUUUUCAUUAAUCCUCUUUAAAGUCAUACUAAUUACUUUAAAAUCUGUUAUAAUUUUGAAAUAUUCACAAAACUUGUUUGCUGUCCUUUCUAUCCAGAUUUUUAAGGACCGAUGACCUGCGACAUUAGGGUAUUAGGGUGGGGAAUUUGGACAUUAAAAGGAAAGAUGUUAGGAAGUGGACUUUAAGCUGACUCUGAUACCAUGUUAGGAAGUGGACUUUAAGCUGACUUUAAUAUCAUGUUACGAAGUGGACUUUAAGUCUAACUCAAUACCAUAAAACCUGUUCAAUGAGAUGAGGUUUGCACCCACUUAUAUACAAUAAAAUGUCCUUAUCCCUAAUCAAUUAUAUACAAUAAAAUGUUCUUAUCUCUAGUCAAUUAUAUACAAUAAAAUGUCUUUAUCUCUAGUCAAUGUGAGAUCUCCAUCAAAAGAAACAAUAAUUGUCUUUAAAUGUUGUCUAAAAAAAUUAUGAAUACAUGAUUUUCUUUUUUAUUUAAACAGAAUAAUAACAGAGAAAGACAACCCAUUUAACGAAAAAAAUUGUCAACUUUUUAAAAAAAAAAAACCUUUAAUACGUUAAUAUGAAAAACGGAGAUUUUCUCAUAAUUUGUUUCUAUGAAUAAUCUAUGAAGAAGACUAAGAAAAUAAAAAUGAUCGAAAAAUUAUUUUGUGCUAAUUCAAAUGAAAAGUUAAACUCUUCUAUCACUCCAAAAUCCAUAAACAUGAGCCAGAUAUGCUUUUAGCAAAAUGUUACCUAUAGUUUUUCUAACUUUUAAAAAAAUAUUUAUUUUUUAUAUUUUAAUAAACAAUAUAAAUCUCUUUUUAUGCUUUUUUAUGAAACCAGACUGUUCUCUUUUAUUUUAUUUAAAAAUAUCAUUUAACUAACAUUAAAAUAAAAAAUUACGAAAUCAAAUAUUAAUCUUCUAAAAUAUAAAAAUGAAAUAACUUUUUAUAAACAGAAAAAUUGAAUGAAUUAAUGUGAUAUAUUAAAAAUAUUAUAAAAGUAUAUUUAUCCCUAAAUUUUAAAUUUCCAUACAAAAAUUUACAUUUUAGAUAAAUUAUUACUUGAAUAUAAGAAUAAACAUUUAAUUUUUUUAUACAGAAAUUUUCUUAAAUUUUACAUUUUAGAAUUUUAAUUUUAAUUUUUUAUUUAAGUUUUAGUAAAUAUAAUAUUUAAAAUAAAAUGAAUAAAAAAAUAUUACUUUAUUAGAGUGUAAAGGAUUUGAAUCAUAUUUUUUAGAAGAUAAGAAAAGAAAAUGUCUAUUUAAAAAUUAGAGGAUGUGUAAAGUCUUAUUUUAUUAAAAACAUAAAAAAAAUAGUAUCUAUUUUAAAAUCACUAUGAAUUUAUUUUAGCUAUUUUUAGUGAGGUAGUGAUGUUUUUUUUUUGUAAUAAUCCUUAGGUAAAUUUUUUUAAAAAAAAUCACUUAUAUAUUUCUUUUGUUUUCAUAUACGAAAUUUGUUUUUGACAUAAAUAGUUAUUGGUUUUCCAAUCUUAAAGCAAAGUAAAUAUUUAAUUAAUUGAAUUCGAUUAUUCUAGUAUAAGAAUAUGUUUAAUAAAGAGAAAUAUGAAUUUCUUAUGAUUUUUUUAAUCCUUCUUAAUAUUUUUUUUCUUCGUAUUGUUUUUCUAAAAUUAAGUUAAUUGAUAUUAGUUUUUACAUAGUUUAAAAUCUAAGAAGUACUACUGAGUUAUGAGUUAUUGAUGUUUUGUGUGUUAGAAAAUUCUCAAAAAUAUUUUAUAUAUUGAGUAUGAAUAUAUCAAGUGUUAAAGACAAUUAAAAUUUCUGGCUUUAAAUUGCAUGUAAAAAACUGUGGGUAUUCAAGAUGGAUAAAAAAUUAUACUAUCAUUAAAAAUUAUUAAACGUGAUAUAUAGCAAAAAUAGGAUAAAUAAUUAAGUUAAAUUAUGUGCGUAGAUAGAUUUACAACACAAACACUGCAGACAAAAAAUAUAUAUAUAAUUUUUAAAAUAUAGAAUAAAAAACAUAGAUCUAUAUAUUAUAUAAUUAUGAAUUAUAUAAAUUGUUAAUAAAAAUUUAUUUGCGCAAGUAUCUUUUAAUUUUUUUUUUAACAAAAAGAUGUUUUUCGUGUGAUUCAAAGGGAAUUGUUUUUUAUUUUUGUAAUCAUAAUAAAAAUUUAUACAAUAAGUUUGAGAUUGUAGAAAAAUAAAUUUAUUUCUCUUUUUUAAAAUUGUAUUAUAACCGUACUGAAAUUGUCAGAAAUACAAAAAUAUUUUUUGAAUUGGACAAUUUAUCGAUACAUGUCUUACGAGUAUCGUGUGAGUAUUGAUAUUCUAUAGGUGUGUCCAACAUAUACACAUUAUUUAAGACUUAUUUAAGAAAGUAUCUGAAUGUAGUAAAUGUUAUUUUUGUUCUUCUUUUAUCUUUUAACACAUGAGAGAAAAACUUAAUAAAAUCUUGAAAUUCCAAAUAAAUAAUAUCUCAAUAGAUCUUUUGGAGAUAACAAAAUUAAACAUGUAUGUACUUUAUUGUGGUAUUUUUCUUAAGGACGUUAAGUCAAACGAACUAUAAAUGGGCACAGUUGCUCUAGAAAACAUGAUUAGUGAAAAUACAUAUUCACAGUGUAGAAGAGUCUUUAUAUUAUUGACUUAUAUAUAUAGUAUUAUUGAUUUUUAUAAUAAAGAUUUUAAAUUAAUAAUAAAAUAGCCCUAGGUGUUUUUUAAAGUUGAUCCUCUAAUAUUAUCACUGUGGUUGUGUAAGGUAGGUGUGUAAGGAAGUGGUUUGUUAUUGUACAGAGUGAUCGGAGAGAGAAAAAAAUAGAGAACUUACCAGUGAAAGAACUGCAGAGAGAAGGAAGCAAUUCCUUGAACCAAUUCAAUUGUUUUGUCAAAGAAUAAUUGGUUGGGAUAGAAAUGCCCCUCUCUUCAAAGAAGCUGGGGUCUAAAGCCCUCGCUCCAGACACAGCAAAAUUGGUUCCCUCUUUCCCACUCUUCUUUUCCAGAUACGGCUUCACCAAUGGAAGUCCCAAUGACUCAGCUGCACAUAAAACAACUCCAAACACUUAAAACCUACUUUUAACAGGAUUUAAAUUAACUCUUACCAUUUAUGUUUGAAUUUAAUAUACAAAACAGAAUUUACAACUUCAUCAUUGUCAUUCGCUUUAACAUUUUAGUUCAUAUAUAUUUAUGCUCAACAACACACUAAUCUCACAUAGUAUAAGAUAUUUAUGGAUGAUCUAAUUAAAUAUACAUAUUGUAAUUUGAUUAUAGUUGAAAUGAAAAAUGAAAAGUAGGAGUAAGAGAAGAAGAGAAACGGAACCGAUGAAAUCGAUGAUGAGGCGGCCAUCGGAGCAGCGUCCAGUGACAUGGUGAAAGAAGGUUUGACCGUAGGGAGGAAAGAAGCAGUGAUUAGGGGAGUGGGAAGCGAGAUACCUGUUGCCAGUGUCAGUAAGAGAAUCACCAAAACUGAAAAUGGAGGUGAAUGGGGACGGGGACGAGGAUAAUAACGGUGGCGAUUCUGAAAGUGAGAAAGGUAUCAGAAAUGCUGCAGUUAGCACUGCGAUUGUAAUCCAUUGCUGUUCACAGAUUGACCUCAUUGUCGCCACACACAUCCC
rnacentral:lncRNA from 1 species